CAAAAUAUAGCUAAACUAGUAAAGCAUCUCCCUUACACCGAGAAGAUACCCGUGCAACCCCAGUUAUUUUGA
rnacentral:tRNA from 1 species